rnacentral:rRNA from 1 species
GAUGAACGCUGGCGGCGUGCCUAAUACAUGCAAGUCGAGCGAACGGACGAGAAGCUUGCUUCUCUGAUGUUAGCGGCGGACGGGUGAGUAACACGUGGAUAACCUACCUAUAAGACUGGGAUAACUUCGGGAAACCGGAGCUAAUACCGGAUAAUAUUUUGAACCGCAUGGUUCAAAAGUGAAAGACGGUCUUGCUGUCACUUAUAGAUGGAUCCGCGCUGCAUUAGCUAGUUGGUAAGGUAACGGCUUACCAAGGCAACGAUGCAUAGCCGACCUGAGAGGGUGAUCGGCCACACUGGAACUGAGACACGGUCCAGACUCCUACGGGAGGCAGCAGUAGGGAAUCUUCCGCAAUGGGCGAAAGCCUGACGGAGCAACGCCGCGUGAGUGAUGAAGGUCUUCGGAUCGUAAAACUCUGUUAUUAGGGAAGAACAUAUGUGUAAGUAACUGUGCACAUCUUGACGGUACCUAAUCAGAAAGCCACGGCUAACUACGUGCCAGCAGCCGCGGUAAUACGUAGGUGGCAAGCGUUAUCCGGAAUUAUUGGGCGUAAAGCGCGCGUAGGCGGUUUUUUAAGUCUGAUGUGAAAGCCCACGGCUCAACCGUGGAGGGUCAUUGGAAACUGGAAAACUUGAGUGCAGAAGAGGAAAGUGGAAUUCCAUGUGUAGCGGUGAAAUGCGCAGAGAUAUGGAGGAACACCAGUGGCGAAGGCGACUUUCUGGUCUGUAACUGACGCUGAUGUGCGAAAGCGUGGGGAUCAAACAGGAUUAGAUACCCUGGUAGUCCACGCCGUAAACGAUGAGUGCUAAGUGUUAGGGGGUUUCCGCCCCUUAGUGCUGCAGCUAACGCAUUAAGCACUCCGCCUGGGGAGUACGACCGCAAGGUUGAAACUCAAAGGAAUUGACGGGGACCCGCACAAGCGGUGGAGCAUGUGGUUUAAUUCGAAGCAACGCGAAGAACCUUACCAAAUCUUGACAUCCUUUGACAACUCUAGAGAUAGAGCCUUCCCCUUCGGGGGACAAAGUGACAGGUGGUGCAUGGUUGUCGUCAGCUCGUGUCGUGAGAUGUUGGGUUAAGUCCCGCAACGAGCGCAACCCUUAAGCUUAGUUGCCAUCAUUAAGUUGGGCACUCUAAGUUGACUGCCGGUGACAAACCGGAGGAAGGUGGGGAUGACGUCAAAUCAUCAUGCCCCUUAUGAUUUGGGCUACACACGUGCUACAAUGGACAAUACAAAGGGCAGCGAAACCGCGAGGUCAAGCAAAUCCCAUAAAGUUGUUCUCAGUUCGGAUUGUUGUCUGCAACUCGACUACAUGAAGCUGGAAUCGCUAGUAAUCGUAGAUCAGCAUGCUACGGUGAAUACGUUCCCGGGUCU